AAGUAGUUGAAGCUGUAAGAAAAUUAAUUCUCAUGUGUGGGCUAAAGUUUGAUCUUUCUGGUAUGUUCAAAAUGCAUUAACCUCAUGAAAGUUCACACUCAUUUUUUACAGCCUCUAAAGGUUGGAGGAGGACCAAGGUAGCUCUUUACUCACAAAAUAAUUCAGUUACACCAUUCUGAGUCAUCCUCACUGAUAUACUCAUGCUCAUUCUUGAAAUAUUUUAAAUGCCUCAUUCUAUUAAGCCUCCAUGGAUUGACUGACUUAAUCCUUAGUUUUGCUUGAUUCUGAAAUGGUAAAACAGGAAUAGUUAUACUUACUGCAAGCAAACUUAUAAAUUCAGCAAUAUGACCUAUAAGGUCAUUUCUACAACACAGCCAACAAUGGGGUGAAAAAUGUAGACUUUAAUUUCCAUGCUUGGUCCACCCUAUGUGAUGCCAAACAAGUGAGUAAUUGGAAACAUUUGUGCAUAACUCAAUUUUUCAUGCAUUACCCCAGUGUUUCAGAUUUUUGUAAACAGAGCCUAAAUCUAUGACCUAUUAACAAACUCUCACUUCUUGCCAUCCCUUUUUCUCUCUAGAACAUUUCACUAGUGGGGAGCAAUAAAACAUAUUAGAACUAAAAAACUUACAAUGGACAUUUAAUAGUGGUUUUCCUUUCUAUUCUAUUUUUUAAAAUAUAAACCGAUUAAAUGAUAAAAUGUAGACUGAAUUUAUCAUAAAGACAUUUUCUUAUGGUAUAUUGCAAGGAACUAUGAACUUUUAAUAACUACUAUAAGCAACUGACAGGAAAAAACGGCCACAGAAGAAGGAAAGAGGAGAGAAUGAGGAGCAGACACUAAGGUGUAGUGAAAGGAGGAAAAUGAAGGCUAAGUCUAAUGAUGUGAAUCCUAUUUGCAAUUCCAUCAAAGGAGGGAUCUUCCUACUGACCAGAAGACCUGUACAGCCUGAGAAUGAUUCCUUUCAACUCUGAGAGAAGAAGCUGCAGAUGAAGAGCAAUCCUGGGAUACAUGUGCAGAAAGUGCAGGUUUGCUACAUAGGUAUACACGUACCAUGGUGGUUUGCUGCACCCAUCAACUCGUCAUCUACAUUAGGAUACUGUAUACUGAAAACCCACCAAUUUGAUCUUUUAUGAGAAGCUAGUCCCUGAAAAGGCCCUUGGAUCAAAAGUUGAAAACUUGAAGCACAGAGUAGGAUGUCAGAUGCCAAGAUUCAAAUCUAGUCAUUUGAUUCCAGAGCCCACAUUUUUAAAUAAUAUGCUACACUGACCUUUAUUAUCUUUAAACAUUAUCUUUAUUUAAUGUGUUUCAUAGAAAUUACUUCUCAAGUAUUCCUAAUUUUAUUUUUAAAAAUAAUAAGGUCAUGCUAUCACUAUAAUAUAGUUUUUUAAAUUAACUUGAGAGGUAAUGUAGUAUGAUCAAUUUCCUUAAUGGCCUUUUAAACUAGAAAUAAUUAUUAAAUAUUUUUAAUAUUAUAAAUUAACAGGCAAGAUGGUGAAAAAACUAACAUCUGGUUCUUAAAAGUAAGUUGAAAUAUAAGAUCAGAUUUGAAUGCACGUGGAAAAAUAGAAAUGGCAAAUAAUGCCAUAUUUGAAGAUCUUUCAGCAUUCUCUGGUAUUUUUCCUUUCAUUUCAAAAUUGUUAUAUUCUUUUUAAUGACUUCAAAUGAAUUAGGAAAUGUCAGGCUUCUAAAAAUCAAACAGAACGUCAAACCAGUAGAUUUCAUUCAGGGCAGUGGGAGCCUGUUCGGUUGUUUCCUCUUUCUCCCUCACUUUUAAAAAUCCUCAAUCACUGCCAUUUCUCUUCUCAGCUUUCACAACACUUUAUAGGCAGCUGAAUGAAAGGGCAGAAGCUUCCUCUGAAACUCCUGUUAUUUCAGCUCUAAAAUCAGCUGAAAAGGAUGCCCUCCCCAGAGACAGAAAUGCAUUCCCUCCAUCAUGAACCUGCAUGCCCUCAGGUUGUGGCAAGGGAAAAGUUUAGCACUUGAACCUAGAUAAUGCUAUUUUUUUAAUCAAAGUGCACCAUUCUUGUUUCAUAUGGCCUGUGGCACAAUUUAUUUAAAACAAUAUGGUGCAUCAAAGAAGGUAAACAAUAACAAUAAUAAUAAUAAUAAUGUAGGAAUAGCAAUGUGCACAUAAAUAAUAUAGGAAAACACAUGGCCUCAGUACCUUCAUGAAAUGGGACUUCAAUAUACAUAUUUCUUACACAGCUUUAUGCAUGACUUCAUUUCUAUGGUUUGCACUUCACUGCUCUGUUGUGUCACUCCACCAAUAAACCUAUACAUCAUACUGAGUGAAAUAUGUUCACAGUCCCUUUACUUGAC